rnacentral:rRNA from 1 species
GGCGAACGCUGGCGGCGUGCUUAACACAUGCAAGUCGAGCGGUAAGGCCCUUUCGGGGGUACACGAGCGGCGAACGGGUGAGUAACACGUGGGUGACCUGCCCUCAGCUCUGGGAUAAGCCUGGGAAACCGGGUCUAAUACUGGAUAUGACUCCAUGACGCAUGUUGUGGGGUGGAAAGCCUUGUGCGGCUGAGGAUGGGCCCGCGGCCUAUCAGCUUGUUGGUGGGGUGANGGCCUACCAAGGCGACGAC